CUAGUACUCCCUCCGUCUGAAAUUACUUGUCAUCAAAAUGGAUGUAUCUAGAACUAAAAUACAUCUAGAUACAUCCAUUUCAAUGACAAGUAUUUCCGGAUGGAGGGAGUAGUAG
rnacentral:pre_miRNA from 1 species